GACGAACGCUGGCGGCGUGCCUAAUACAUGCAAGUUGAGCGCUGAAGGUUGGUACUUGUACCAACUGGAUGAGCAGCGAACGGGUGAGUAACGCGUGGGGAAUCUGCCUUUGAGCGGGGGACAACAUUUGGAAACGAAUGCUAAUACCGCAUAAAAACUUUAAACACAAGUUUUAAGUUUGAAAGAUGCAAUUGCAUCACUCAAAGAUGAUCCCGCGUUGUAUUAGCUAGGUGGUGAGGUAAAGGCUCACCAAGGCGAUGAUACAUAGCCGACCUGAGAGGGUGAUCGGCCACAUUGGGACUGAGACACGGCCCAAACGCCUACGGGAGGCAGCAGUAGGGAAUCUUCGGCAAUGGACGAAAGUCUGACCGAGCAACGCCGCGUGAGUGAAGAAGGGUGUCGGAUCGUAAAACUCGGUUGGUAGAGAAGAACGUUGGUGGGAGUGGAAAGCUCAUCAAGUGACGGUAACUACACAGAAAGGGACGGCUAACUACGUG
rnacentral:rRNA from 1 species